rnacentral:lncRNA from 1 species
AAAGCUGUAUAAUUUUUUUAACUGUAAGCGGGAGCGGUAAUGUUUACGGAAUAGUAAAAAUCUGUAUAAAAAAGUUGAUAGUAACUGUUUUGGUAAAGCUUUUGAUAUCGUUUUUCUGAUUGAUAACUGUCAAAGCGGUACACCCCAAACCGAAGUUGUAUGGGGUUACCAUUCAAACCUUUUAUGAACCAAAUCGGCAAAAUAACGAAAGUUGUGAGGUGGGUUGAGUCUUGAAAGAUUGGGUUCAUAUCCAUGACUCUUUGGGGCUGUCUAGGUUAAGUGAAUGAGGCUCCAGAAUGUGCACAAGUGAAUGAGGAAGGAGUCGUUGGAAGUUAAUCUCCUUUGGCUCCAUAUAUGGUAAGUAUUAACUCCAUGUGUUCCAGUGAGGUUUGGUUUACCAAGAUUCGUCUCGUAUAAGUCUUGUGUGGUCUAGAUGUUAACCUCGUUUCCAUAUGUAGCUUUGGGGCACAUCCAAAUGAGAGUAAAUGAUAGUUUCCUUAUUUGGAUAAGAGUAUUAUGAUUAUCUAUGUU